UGGGGAAUAUUGGGCAAUGGGCGAAAGCCUGACCCAGCAACGCCGCGUGAGUGAUGAAGGCCUUCGGGUUGUAAAACUCUUUGGACAGGGACGAAGAAAGUGACGGUACCUGUAGAACAAGCCACGGCUAACUACGUGCCAGCAGCCGCGGUAAUACGUAGGUGGCGAGCGUUAUCCGGAUUUACUGGGCGUAAAGGGCGUGUAGGCGGCUAGAUAAGUGUGAUGUUUAAAUCCAAGGCUUAACCUUGGGGUUCAUUACAAACUGUUUAGCUUGAGUGCUGGAGAGGAUAGUGGAAUUCCUAGUGUAGCGGUAAAAUGCGUAGAUAUUAGGAGGAAUACCGGUGGCGAAUGCGACUUUCUGGACUUGAACUGACGCUGAGGCACGAAAGCGUGGGGAGCAAACAGG
rnacentral:rRNA from 1 species